UUUUUCAAGUUCUGCAAGACUUGUUUGUGUCCUUCCAUAAAUAGCUCAUAAUCACAAGCUGAAUCAACCAUCAAAGACAGCAUAGAAGUAAAGAAGAGGGAGUUGAGAGAUGGAAGUGAAGAAAAUGCUGGGGCUCCUCUUUGGGAUCUUCUUCCUCGAUGGGCUGUUCCUCCUCGCUGCGGCUUCUAACGUCCACCACUACAGCUUUAUACUGAAGGAGACGAACUUUACAAGACUAUGUUUCGAAAAGCCGAUGCUCACCGUAAAUGAGCAGUUCCCAGGACCCACUAUUCAUGUUCGCAAAGGAGAUACUGCUUUUGUUAAUGUUCACAAUGACGGCAAAUAUGGUGUCACCAUCCACUGGCAUGGAGUGAAGCAACCAAAUAAUCCAUGGUCAGAUGGUCCGGAAAACAUCACUCAAUGCCCGAUUCAGCCAGGGAAAAACUUCACUUAUGAAGUCAUUUUUUCAGAUGAAGAAGGCACGCUAUGGUGGCAUGCGCAUAGUGAUUGGUCACGAGCCACAGUCCAUGGCCACAUCGUUAUUUUGCCUGAAAUAGGAAAGACAUAUCCAUUUCCCGAGCCUUAUGCAGAGCAAACACUUUUUCUUGCAUCUUGGUUCAAUACUGAUGUGAAGGAACUAAUUGAUGAUGCUACACUUAUUGGAGGUGACCCAGACCCGUCGGAUGGAUUCACCAUCAACGGCUGGCCAGGAGCUUUGUACAAUUGCUCUAAUGAAACCAUAUCGACUUUUGAUGUUGAAUACGGCAAGACCUAUCUUUUUCGUUUAGUGAGUGGUGUGAUGAACGAAGAAAUGUUCUUCGGAAUCGCCGGACACAACUUCACCGUGGUAACUCAAGACGCAGCAUACCUCAAGCCAAUAGUGACAAGCUACAUAAUGAUAGCUCCAGGCCAAACCAUGGACAUUCUACUCACAGCAGACCAGUCUCCAAGUUCCUACUACAUUGCUGCUAGUCCCUUCUUUGUAUUCGGGAGCUCCAUUCGACAAUACCACCACCACAGCUAUUCUCCGGUACACAAACGCAACUGCCCCGUCCUCCAUUCCUUUUCCUUCACUUCCCUCGACGACAGACAAAGAAUCUGUAGAUAACUUCACAAGCAAGUUGAAGGCUUUAGCAAGCGAGGAACAUCCCAUUAGUGUGCCUCAAAAUAUUACCAAAAGAAUCAUUAUCACAGUUUCGGUGAAUCAGCUACCCUGUGAUCUUGUUAAUGGCACUUGUGGGGGUCCUCAAGGUAAUAGACUGGCUGCUAGCUUAAACAAUAUCAGUUUCUCUACCCCAACUACAGAUAUACUGCAACAAUACUACAGCAUGUUGAAUGAUACCAGCUUUGACAGUGACUUUCCUAGUCAACCAGCUGUGGUAUUCAACUUUACAGGGGAUGAUGCAGACGAUUAUUUACUGCCAGAAGUAGGGACGAAGGCGAAAUUGGUUGAGUACGGGGCAUCGGUUGAAAUUGUGUACCAAGGGACUAAUAUUGGGAAUGCAGAAAACCAUCCGAUGCAUUUGCAUGGUUAUAGCUUCUAUGUCGUCGGAUCAGCUUAUGGCAAUUGGAACGAGACCACUUCUCCGGACACUUACAACUUGAUCGAUCCGCCGGAAGUGAAUACCGUCGGAGUUCCUAAGAAUGGAUGGACUGCCAUUCGAUUCGUUGCUAACAAUCCUGGAGUGUGGUUUAUGCAUUGUCAUUUGGAACGUCAUGCUAGUUGGGGCAUGAACACAGUACUUAUAGUGAAGAAUGGACCAACCAAUGAUACCAAGAUCCGACCACCUCCUCCGAACUUGCCAAUCUGUGCUUAGUCUUGGCACCAUAUGGUCACGUUUAUUUUUAUUUAUGGGGAAGUGAAUGCAAGUUUUCUCUUGUUCUUUGCUUUGUAUUAUUUUGUGAGAGAUGUUGGCCUCGUCCCUCUUUCUAUGAUGUAAUAUUUCUUUCCUCUUCAAUAAAAUUCUAAGUUAGGAAUUAGUAGGUUAUCCUUACCGACAGAAAAGAAAAAAAAAAUGUAAUUACAUGAAUUGCCUUUCGAAAAUAAUAUAUUGGAUGGUGGAAGAAAGAG